CAGCUGCUACUGACCAUUGUUGGGAGUUGAACUUCAGACUGAAUAGAAACCCUGACUAAGACAACCUGUGAAAACAAAUCUUGCUUGAGAAGUUACCUCCAUCAUAUUGCCUUUAGUCUCUGCUUGAGUUCCUGCCUCAAGAUCCUGCCCUGCUUGAGUUCCUGUUCUGGCUUCCACCAUGAUGGAUUGGAAGCUCUAAGGAUCCACCAUGGGGAGCAAUGGAACAGGUCUUCAUCUAAAGAGCCGGCUGCUAAUCUCCCGCAAAAGGUCUCUCAGCAUUCCCAGUCAUGGUCUCCACCAAGCCAAGGAGCCCACCCGAACAAGACAAGGACUCUCUCAUCCCCACAGGAUCCAGCCAGAGCUCUUCUCCCCUGCUUUCUCCUUAGGCCCUGGGCUUGAUCCAGCCUGCGGGUUCUCACUCCAUUCUCAGCUCUUCUGCGGCAUCCAGUAGAAUCUGGAAUGUCCAGGACUCUGAGAACCUGAUGUCCUCGCCUCCUUGCAGUCCUGGGGACCCCAGAGCUGGCCCAGUUGUCCCUGAGGAUCUCAGACUGCGCUCCCCUGUGGGGAGCCGCCCUCACAUUCUCCGUUGCAAGAUGGCGCUGACAUCCUGUGUUCUAAGUGGUAAACAAAU